rnacentral:rRNA from 1 species
GAUGAACGCUGGCGGCGUGCCUAAUACAUGCAAGUCGAGCGAACAGACGAGGAGCUUGCUCCUCUGACGUUAGCGGCGGACGGGUGAGUAACACGUGGAUAACCUACCUAUAAGACUGGGAUAACUUCGGGAAACCGGAGCUAAUACCGGAUAACAUGUUGAACCGCAUGGUUCAACAGUGAAAGACGGUCUUGCUGUCACUUAUAGAUGGAUCCGCGCCGCAUUAGCUAGUUGGUAAGGUAACGGCUUACCAAGGCAACGAUGCGUAGCCGACCUGAGAGGGUGAUCGGACACACUGGAACUGAGAACCGGUCCAGACUCCUACGGGAGGCAGCAGUAGGGAAUCUUCCGCAAUGGGCGAAAGCCUGACGGAGCAACGCCGCGUGAGUGAAGAAGGUCUUCGGAUCGUAAAACUCUGUUAUUAGGGAAGAACAAAUGUGUAAGUAACUAUGCACGUCUUGACGGUACCUAAUCAGAAAGCCACGGCUAACUACGUG